rnacentral:lncRNA from 1 species
ACAAAUGUUAGAAAACGUUCAGGAGGUAUUCAACUAAAUUUUACACAAAAAACUUUUCAUUUGAAGGAAAAACCAUGGACUUCUCAUCUUUUUCAUCCCACCUUUAAUCUAUCUAAUACUAAAUCAAAUCAACUAUACAUUCUUUAAAAUCCAAAAUCUUCUACCAGCACCAUUCCAGUGGCCAUUAAUAGGAAACAUACCAAAUUUCAUAGGCAAAAAUCCCCAUAUCAAAUGUGUAUAAUAUAGUAAGANNNNNNNNNNNNNNNNNNNNNNNNNCAGUACAUUAUAAUAUAGUACUCUUUCUAUUAGAAAGUUACAUGAGUAUAUCUUGAAAUAACAUCAUACGAAUUUUUCCCUACUUCGAUCCGCCGUUACGUAUCGUCGCAAUCAACGGGUGUUAAAGGGAUUGUCAAGAGAAUCGGUUCAGGUAUGUUAAGGCUAUCCCUUCUUUCUUUUGGCAUGAUCUAUACGACACAUGCGAAACGAGCAAAUGCACAACUUACAUAAAUUACUUUAUUCGUAGAAAUGCUAGAGAUGUAUAUAUUCUUAUUUUUCCAUGUGUCAUAUUAUUCUAUCAUCUGUUUAUGGGUCUCAAAAAUACAUAAAUUGGUAAAGUUUAUUUCAUGAUAUUAAUCAGAGGCAUAAUGGUCUUAUGACGUACUGAGAGAUUUUAUUAACGUAUUUCAUAUGCAUUUCAUGUAUUUAUACAUGCACAUUGACCCAUGACUAGAUGGCAUUAUAUACGCGUAUAUAUAUAUAUAUAUAUAUAUAUAUAUGGGAUAUGAAAAAGGUUAUGGCGUUAUAUACGCACCACCACCUGUGCGGGUAAUUGGUUAAUUAUUAAUUAGUGGGAGAUUAACUAGUUAAUUAAGGAUUAGUAGAUAAUUAAUUAAGAUAUUGGGAUAAGGCCUAACAAGCCAAAACGUGACAGCCCCUUUCUUUCAUUAAAUGACUCUUACCUUAUAAUUGAAAGGUGUCACAAUUGAGUAAGAUUACGGCUUAGUCAUUACUAUGUGGGCCCCACUCCAUUUAAUGCAUAAAACCCCUCUAAUUCAAAGAGGGGUCUUAUAUACAAAUGUUAGAAAACGUUCAGGAGGUAUUCAACCAAAUUUAACACAAAAAACUUUUCAUUUGAAGGAAAAACCAUGGACUUCUCAUCUUUUUCAUCCCACCUUUAAUCUAUCUAAUACUAAAUCAAAUCAACUCUACAUUCUUUAAAAUCCAAAAUCUUCUACCAGCACCAUUCCAGUGACCAUUAAUAGAAAACAUACUAAAUUUCAUAGGCAAAAAUCCCUAUAUCAAAUGUGUAUAAUAUAGUAAGGCAGUACAUUAUAAUAUAGUACUCUUUUUAUUAGAAAGUUACGUGAGUAUAUCUUGAAAUAACAUCAUACGGAUUUUCUCCUACUUCGAUCCGUCGUUACGUGUCGUCGCAAUCAACGGGUGUUAAAGGGAUUGUCAAGAGAAUCGGUUCAGGUAUGUUAAGGCUAUCCCUUCUUUCUUUUGGCAUGAUCUAUACGACACAAGCGAAAUGAGCAAAUGCACAACUUCCAUAAAUUACUCUAUUCAUAGAAAUGCUCGAGAUGUAUAUAUUCUUAUUUUUCCAUGUGUCAUAUUAUUCUAUCAUCUGUUCAUGAGUCUAAAAAAUACAUAAGUUGGUAAAGUUUAUUUCAUGAUAUUAAUCAGAGGCAUAAUGAUCUUAUGACGUACCGAAAGAUUUUAUUAAUGUAUUUCAUAUGCAUUUUAUGUAUUUAUAAAUGCACAUUGACCCAUGACCAGAUGGCGUUAUAUACAUGUAUAUAUAAAUGUAUAUAUAUAUAUAUGUAUAUGGGAUAUGGAAAAGGUUAUGGCAUUAUAUAUGCACCACCACCUGAUCAGCUGGUAUACGUUGAUGAUUUUGCCCACAGUGGCCGAGAUGAUUUUAUGGGAUGCCCUCAGAGGCUUAAUGAUAUUAUGAACACAUGUACCUACGCACGACAUGACAUUCAUAUGCAUAUGCAUGACACUAUGAGUAUUUCAUGAUUUACAGAGUUAUUCAGACUUACAUGUCGAGUCUUUUACUCCACGUUUCUCUCAUGUCUAUUAGUUACUGAUUUUCAUUCCUUACAUACUCGGUACAUUAUUUGUACUGACGUCCCUUUUACCUGGGGACGCUGCGUUUCAUGCUCGCAGUUCCCGAUAGACAGGUCAAGAGCCCUCCAAGCAGACUAUCAGGUCAGCGGAAGAUGUUGGUGCACUCCAUUUGCUUCGGAGUUGCUUGUUUAGUUAGUAUGAUUUAGACGUGUAUUGUUUGGUAUGGCAGGACUUUGACCCGACCUUUGUGAAAAUUAUGUAUUCUUAGAGGCUUGUAGACAGAUGUCAUGUACGUAAAAGAUUGUAUGGCCUUGUCGGCCUAUGUUCAGUAUACGAGUGGUUAUUUUGGUCUUAUAGGCCCGCAUGUCUUAUGUAUAAGUUGGUAUUACAUGUUGUAUUCUACUUAUCUCACAGCAGCCUUCCGGCUCCGUUAUCUAAGAUAGUAUGACAUGAAAAGAUACGAUAUGCUAGUACUCGGUUGAGUUAAGGUACCAGGUGCCCAUCGCGGCCCAUCGGUUUGGGUCAUGACAGGGCCGUACGUCUCGACAGGAUUAUGUACCACUCAUAUGGGAGCGGGCCGUUCACCUCGGCAAUACAAUAGAUGUAUCUAUGGUUCGGCAUUUCUAUAAAAUAUUCUUAUGAAAUCAUGCGUAAUAAUUGAUAACAAGGCUGUAUAUCUGUGAGUUUUCCUGAUUUGAACUGUGGCGACCUAUCUUGUGAGAUCCAUUAUAUAUACUCUGUUUGAGGAGGUAGCUACUAGCUGAUAGUUUGAGUUAUUACUAAGAGGAGAAUUGUACCACGUAUUUAUACUUGUUAUUUCGUUUAUUCCCCUAACUCACAUUUGUUACUUCUAUUAUAUCUGUCUUAUUGGACCACUAGUAAGUGUUGAUGUCGACCCCUCGUCACUACUUCUCUGGGGUUAGGCUAGAUACUUAUUGGGUACGCGUUAAUUUACGUACUCAUACUACACUUGCUGCACUUAUUGUGCAGGUACAUAUAUGUCUGGUGGUCUUUUGGGCGUAGAGGCACGACUAUUGCGAGGACUUUACCGUGAACUGCAUUUCAUAUUACGAUCCACAACCUGCAGAGACUCCAUCAGAGUUAUUUAUAUUUCUCCUGUCUAAUUUGUAUUCCGGACAGAUGUUGUAUUUUAUUAUAUUUCCUAGUUGAUGCUCAUGCACUUAUAACACCGGAUUUUGGGGGUUCCUACGGGUUGUUCAUUAUUGUAGCUCGUGUAAAUAUUAUCAUUCACUCUGUAAAUUUUAUUUCACACUAUCUAAUUAAUAAAAAUUAUGAUUUUAAAGUACUA